rnacentral:rRNA from 1 species
UACGUAGGGUCCGAGCGUUGUCCGGAAUUAUUGGGCGUAAAGGGCUCGUAGGCGGUUUGUCGCGUCGGGAGUGAAAACACGGGGCUUAACCCCGUGCCUGCUUCCGAUACGGGCAGACUAGAGGUAUGCAGGGGAGAACGGAAUUCCUGGUGUAGCGGUGAAAUGCGCAGAUAUCGGGAGGAACACCGGUGGCGAAGGCGGUUCUCUGGGACGGUACUGACGCUGAGACGCGAAAGCAUGGGGAGCGGAACAGG